rnacentral:rRNA from 1 species
ACGGGGCGCAGCAGGCGCGAAACCUUUACACUGCACGCCAGUGCGAURAGGGGAUCCCGAGUGCACAGGCAUAGAGCCUGUGCUUUUCUGAACCGUAGGGAGGUUCAGGAACAAGAGCUGGGCAAGACCGGUGCCAGCCGCCGCGGUAAUACCGGCAGCUCGAGUGAUGGCCGAUCUUAUUGGGCCUAAAGCGUCCGUAGCUGGCCUUGCAAGUCCGUCGGGAAAUCCACCCGCUCAACGGGUGGGCGUCCGGCGGAAACUGUGAGGCUUGGGACCGGGAGGCUUGAAGGGUACGUCCGGGGUAGGAGUGAAAUCCUGUAAUCCUGGACGGACCGCCGAUGGGGAAACCACUUCAAGAGAACGGAUCCGACAGUGAGGGACGAAAGCUAGGGUCUCGAACCGGAUUAGAUACCCCUGUAGUCC